GGGCAGUAAAUUGGCCAUUGUGAUGUUGGCACAACAGAGCAGCUCUAAAUUCUCACAGGCAGGAUUACACUGGAGCAGUGACCAAGCAGGGGCUGCUGCUGAGGGUGGAAAACCACAGGACCUGCAGAGGAAAAGACAGAACUGUGCUCAAAUGGUCACAUUCAUGUCAGCAAUUCAGUUACUUAUCUCUCAUGAAGUCACUUCAGAGGCACCUUUGGACACAACUUAUGUGAAAUAAACUGCCAAGAGUCUCCUUGGAGCAUGGCUUCCAGCUUUAAGGAUUGUUCAGAGAAUACUCAGAAACUCAGUGCAAUGCGUGGAAGGAGGGUCACACAAAGGAGAGAUGGUAACCAGAAUUCCAUCACAGGCUCUACUGAAAACUCUAAGCCCAAAGCCACACACAGAGAAAAUUAUCUUCUUAUCAGCCCAAUCUUCUGGUGAUCUGAAAAACAGGAUUUCUGUAUUUAGCUUCUCAAAUGCAAACUUAAGAUGCAUUUGCUGAUGCCUGCUGAAAAUUUCCAGAGCCUUUGUGCAUGCUACUCCACCAGAAAUACUGCAUGGAACCUGUUUGUAGAAACCCUGAGGGGCAAAUGCUGAUCAAAACCUCUGAAAUUCUGUCAGAAAUUGUGCAAAAUAUCAGCAUAAAUGAUAUCAACUUUUUUUUUCUGUUCUGUUAUCUAGUAAGUCCAAUAUAAAAAUAUUAAAUGCAUCUGCUUUUCUCUAAUCAGAAUAUUCUUGCCCUGUUUUGGUCUGCUGAUCUCCCUUCCAAGACAGAAAUAUUGCACCGGAAGAAAGUGCUCUGGCCUCUUAUAGACUCAGGUUUUGGGCUCUACUUCCUAUUUAUUUCAGUUAUUCCACUGACAAGGGACAACACAGAAAUUCCUUUACACUGAACAACUCCAGCUACUCCUUGGACAACUCUCUCUCCUCCUUGGUUCUUUCCUGCUGGGCUGAGCUGGGUGAGAGUGAGUCCAUUCUGUCUUGGAAAAUGGCUGUUUUGUGGAAACCUGCUCCUGAAAAAUGUAUUUACUGGAUUAUAAACGUGUUAUAUUAGAUUUAGUGCAAUCUGACAGACUGAUCUCAUAGCAACAACACUGCAGGAAUGUGGGAUAGUAAAGAUUUUGUAUUGUCAGCUUUUUAUAUCAUCCUUAGAAUUUUUUAUUUAUUUUUGGAGCAAAAUAGGGUAAUAUAUGUCACUAUGUUUCAGAUGUAAUAUUUAAGAACAUUUUCAAGAAUUUAUUUUUUUUUUAAGUGCCAUCUCUCUAAAAACAACCUGCCUCUAAAUUCAGGCCAUGCACUUUGUUCCACAAGGAGAACAAUUUGCAGCCUACACGAGCCCAUUUCCCUGUCACCGGUUGUUGUCCAAACUAAACCAUCCAUUCCACGUCUACAGACAAUCCACGUUUCACCUGGGGUUCCCAGAUACCCCUUAGGGUUCUGUAAACAGGGACCCAGCCAAUUGUUUCGAUUGUUUUAAUGCUGUUUUCUUUGUCAAGAAGAGUUUAAACCCCAUCUGCUGGCAAAUCUCCCUUCCAAUUGCAGCACAGUGCUGCCCCUGUCGCUGUGAAGUGGCUGAUAGUGGCACUGCUCUAAAUGACAAGGCACAGAAGAAAAGCCCCUGCCCUCUGGAACCUGCUGUAGGAACAGAUAAAUGUAUGUUAAGUGUAUAAUUAGUGAGGCAGAUCUUGCAGAGGAAUCGUUCCUGCCCUAUAUGGAAAGGAUCUGCCUUGUGGGGCUGAUUGAAUAAAAGGCAGGGGGAUGGGGAUGCACUUAAUAAAGGCAAAACCAGAGCUAAGGCUGGGCUGACAAGUGCAAAGGGGGGAACAGAUGAAUUCUGAGAAAUUCUGGGGCAGAGCAUGAGGAUAAAUGAAAUAAAAGAUACACAGGGAGGGCAGAGGCACAAAGGCCUGGGGUUUGUGAGGAGGGGAGAGCGAUGUGGGUGUGAUUGCUGCUGGGUACGGACUGAGGGGGAGCACUGCAGCUGUGGGAUGAGGAUUGCUGGAAAAGUUGUCAAAAAUCAAAACAGCCAAAGGACAGACAAAUAUUUUAGCCACAAAUUUUUGAAGGAAGAUCAUGUACUUUUGUUAAAAAGCCACAAUUGUGGUGGAGAAAAAGCCAAAGGAAGUCUUGCUACGGGCAGUGUGGACAUGCCACAAGGAUGAUUCCAAAGUCCUGAGAGUGCACUGAGACAGGGAUCUCAAUGACAGGAUAAAUGCUUUAUUUUUCUCAUGCAAGCCGUCAGAAAUAAUUACACUUAAUUUAUAGUUUUCAUUUGAAGAUAUAUUCAGUAGUUCUCAAAAGACACUCCUAUGUCCAAAAGCACAUUCCAAAAGCUCCUACCCCUCCAGUAGAAGUAAUCAUUCUCUUUUGUAACUUCUAAAAACAUGUUUGGCCUCCUCUCACAUCUGCCUGUGGUACACAAGCUUAGCAGAUGCAGACAUUCCCGUGCUGUUUGUUCCAGCAAGGUGAAUUAUGAUUAUAACACCAGGGAUGAGCAGCUGACGUUGACAAGGUUUUUCUGCAAGUCACCGUGAGGUAACGAGAAGUGUCUGCUUUAAUGAUUUUCGCUGUUUAAAUUUUUAUUGUAUUCAGCUGGAUUUUUUUUUUAUAGCCUUUGAUUGAAGUUCAGAGGGAAGAUGAAUUUAAAAGUCUUCAAGUUUGUUAGAUGUGCUACAGCUUGCCAGUCACCCUGCCAAAAAUUUCCACUGUGUACCUCUUAUAGUUCUGCGUGGUCUAAAUUUAAUUGACUGCAGAUGAGAAGCAUUAUUACAGAUCUGUCAUUGCAGCCACUCUUCAUAUGUUUCACUAGCUGGAAUGAGCAGUCACUGGGUUUGUUUCUGACCUAAUUCAUAAUGAUGUAAAGCAGCAGUGAUUUCACAGAAGAGGAAACAGAUUUAGCUGGUGAGAAGGGCAGAACUGGGCUCAGUGCUGCUCCAGUAGUGCUCAUUUACAGGUAAUUUAUUUAAAACGUGGGGGAGACCACUGCCAGCUGAUCCUGUGCCAAGAGUUAUAGUACAAAUUAAUACAGACCAGAAGUCUACGUGCCUUGUACUUGCUCCACCAGAUCAAUAUGUGAAGUAAAGCUGGUAUCCACCAGGAAGGUUUGUGCCAGAAAUUUUUAUGGGUCGCUGUUCUGCUCCUGAUUGAGUAAAUCAUGGUGGCUGCUCUGACUUUCUUCCUCUUUUCAAAUUUGAUACCAAUGACAGAGCAGGAAAGGGCCAGAUCUAGUACUUUGGGGUGCUGUUACUAGGGUUGGACUGUGCCAUGUAGAUGCCAGUUUGUCCUUCAAGCCUCUUGCUUCAUGACCUCACCAGAAGGUGUUCAGCCCAUGCAAACGGCAGCUCUGGGCUUUGAACAUAGAGAUGAAGAGAAAAUACUUGGCAAUGGAAACCCAGAGAGGAGCAGAUCAAAAGAAACAGAAGAAUUCAGAAAUAUCUGCAAUAGCAAAUGGGGAAACUGGAGCCUUUCUGGGACAAGGCCACUGAGUAAGGAGUGCAAGCUGUUCAAUAAAGCUCCAGGAUAUUUAGCAGAAUUUGCUGUCUGAGAGCCUUCUUGAUAACACUCCAGUGCUGCCUCCUCACUGCUUUUGAAGGGAGAAAAAGCUGCUGUUCCUGGGGUCACUGCCAUCGAUUCCCACCUGGAAAGUUUCUUGAUGAGAAUGUGAAGUAUGAGCAGCCAUAAUGAGCCAGACCAGAGGUCUACAGAGCCCAGUAUAAAGGAAAUUAAAAGACCAGGAAAACAUCCCAUGGCAGCCCUCCAGUACAUCUUCACAGCAUCACUGUAGAAUUGCUGCUACUUGAGCUUUAACUGGGACACCUCAUGGAUUUUUCUGUCUUGGGUUUGCCUGAUUGAUUUUUGAACCUGUAAAAAAUUUAGUUGAACUUGCACUGCUGUGAAAAACGAGGAAUUGAAUUCUGAAUGAGCUGCUGCAUUCAGAAAUGUAAGAAUCAGUUCAGAGUGAAGAAGAACUGAUCCCAGCAGCCAAGCCUGCCACCAUGUGCUAAAUAUACUUCAGAACAACCCUUUGUGGCAGAUCUCUGGAGGUGCAUUGUUGGGAGUGAAAGGAAGGAAGAAAGGAACCUUUUGUGAAAUCCAGAGCCAGGGCACAAGUCCUGCAAAACUGCUAUUUUUCUAGCCAAAACCUGGAAGAUUUCCCAUCCUGCUUUAGUCAGGCGUUGCUACCAAAGCAGAGAUUGCUGCCCAUUGAAAAAAGCAAACCUUUCAUAAUAAAAAGGCACACAAAAUUUUUCCAUCAAAUUAGACUGUGCAAACAAACUGGCUUUUGAAUAGGGGGCUUCUUUAUGUGAUACAGGCUGGGUUUCUGAAAAGAAUUUUGUUACAAAGACUAGACACACUAGCACUUACCUAUUUCUCCCCCAUUCUCCUUCCAGCUAUUUCCCUGGUACUCUGCUCCUUCUACGUUCCACUCACUAAACACACAGAACUAAAUUUGUUGGUGUUUUUGUGAAAGUUCUCUGCUUGUUUCUGUAUUUAUUGUAGCUCUUCCAUUUUUAAAAAGGAAUCCAUAUUUGAAGUUGUUAAUUGAAGCUUAAAUUUUGAUGAAGAUAUUAAAGAGACAUUUUUGUGGAAGCAAAUACCUUUGAUCAAUUAUAUCUUUGAGGUUUCACUUACUUAUCAUGGCCUCUGUUUGUUUUUGCCUCCAAGAAUUACAGGAGGAAAACCUUACAUAGUACCAAAUACAAAUAACCAAGAUAUAGCAAAGUAAAUGACUCAGAAUACUUUUUCAGAAGGAUGCUUUGGGUGAAAGCAGUACUCAAGAUGAAAUAUGCAUCUCUCCUUCUAGGUAGGGAGCUUGAAAGCCUGGAGAUUUACCUUUGCAUUUUUAGUUUGAUUUUUUUUCCUUGUUCUGAUGUAGAGGCAUAACAUAACAUAUUCAUUAGACUAUUUGGUACAGCUGAUGAUCUUUCUUGUGUAGCAUUUAUAUUUCACCUGAACUUCAUAUUUGCAUUUUAUUCACUGGUGGAGCAAAUAUAUUUUUCCAGUGGGAUUUCUGCUGCCAUUAACUGGUUUUUGGUAUGUGCACCACAGAGGUGAAGGUGUGUGGGCUGGAUUCUCAUCUUUCUGGGUGCAGGUGGGGGUGGGUUUCAGAGGCAUUUAGAAAUUGUUUUAUAGCCACCAUUCUUGUAGGAAUGUUGAUUUUUAAUCAUCCUGAAACUCCAUAUUGCCACUGCACAGCCAGAUCAGUGCCUUGUCAGAAACCACCACCAUGGUGAUCCUGGGCUCAGCUCACAGGGAAAUCAGCUCGGGGAUUACCCUUCCUUAUCCAAAGGAGUGAUUGUGACAGGCAAUUUGAAUAAUCACCC